ACGUAGGGGGCGAGCGUUAUCCGGAAUUAUUGGGCGUAAAGAGUGCGUAGGUGGUUCUUUAAGCGUGAGGUGAAAGGCAAUGGCUUAACUAUUGUAAGCCUUGCGAACUGGAGAACUUGAGUGCAGGAGAGGUAAGUGGAAUUCCUAGUGGUGCGGUGAAAUGCGUAGAUACUAGGAGGAACACCAGUGGCGAUGGCGACUUACCGGACUGUAACUGACACGGAUGCUAGAAAGCGUGAGGAUCAAAAAG
rnacentral:rRNA from 1 species